rnacentral:rRNA from 1 species
UACAGAGGGGGUAAGCGUUGUUCGGAAUUACUGGGCGUAACGGGCUCGUAGGCGGCCAACUAAGUCAGACGUGAAAUCCCUCAGCUUAACUGGGGAACUGCGUCUGAUACUGGAUGGCUUGGAUUCGGGAGAGGAAUGCGGAAUUCCAGGUGUAGCGGUGAAAUGCGUAGAUAUCUGGAGGAACACCGGUGGCGAAGGCGGCAUUCUGGACCGACAUUGACGCUGAGGAGCGAAAGCCAGGGGAGCAAACGGG